GAUGAACGCUGGCGGCGUGCCUAAUACAUGCAAGUCGAGCGAACGGACGAGAAGCUUGCUUUUCUGAUGUUAGCGGCGGACGGGUGAGUAACAAGUGGAUAACCUACCUAUAAGACUGGGAUAACAUCGGGAAACCGGAGCUAAUACCGGAUAAUAUUUUGAACCGCAUGGUUCAUAAGUGAAAGACGGUCUUGCUGUCACUUAUAGAUGGAUCCGCGCUGCAUUAGCUAGUUGGUAAGGUAACGGCUUACCAAGGCAACGAUGCAUAGCCGACCUGAGAGGGUGAUCAGCCACACUGGAACUGAGACACGGUCCAGACUCCUACGGGAGGCAGCAGUGGGGAAUCUUGCACAAUGGGCGAAAGCCUGACGGAGCAACGCCGCGUGGGUGAUGAAGGUCUUCGGGUCGUAAAACUCUGUUAUUAGGGAAGAACAUAUGUGUAAGUAACUGUGCACAUCUUGACGGUACCUAAUCAGAAAGCCACGGCUAACUACGUG
rnacentral:rRNA from 1 species